rnacentral:rRNA from 1 species
GACGAACGCUGGCGGCGUGCUUAACACAUGCCAGUCGAACGGAAAGGCCCUGCUUUUGUGGGGUGCUCGAGUGGCGAACGGGUGAGUAACACGUGAGUAACCUGCCCUUGACUUUGGGAUAACUUCAGGAAACUGGGGCUAAUACCGGAUAGGAGCUCCUGCUGCAUGGUGGGGGUUGGAAAGUUUCGGCGGUUGGGGAUGGACUCGCGGCUUAUCAGCUUGUUGGUGGGGUAGUGGCUUACCAAGGCUUUGACGGGUAGCCGGCCUGAGAGGGUGACCGGCCACAUUGGGAAUGGGAUACGGCCCAGACUCCUACGGGAGGCAGCAGUGGGGAAUAUUGCACAAUGGGCGGAAGCCUGAUGCAGCAACGCCGCGUGCGGGAUGACGGCCUUCGGGUUGUAAACCGCUUUCGCCUGUGACGAAGCGUGAGUGACGGUAAUGGGUAAAGAAGCACCGGCUAACUACGUG